rnacentral:misc_RNA from 1 species
UCAGCGGGUAACCUCGUCUGACGUGAAGUCAAGAAAUGAAUUAAAAGGGGCAAGGAAAAAGAGCGUCGAGGCGUGUUUCACUACUCGGACUAUUUCUCCGCCUUCCGGUUUUCUUGCGGGCGGAGGCUUUGUGAGAAGCCAACCCCAUCACCGAGCCGGGCUCGAGUGUUUUAAUGACGUUCACGCAGGCGUGCCCGUCGGAAUACCGAGGGGCGCAAUGUGCGUUCAAAGAUUCGAUGAUUCACUGAAUUCUGCAAUUCACAUUACUUAUCGCAUUUCGCUGCGUUCUUCAUCGAUGCGAGAACCA